CUGACCAGGAUUGCACUUAGAAACAAAAUCCCAGACCAAGGAAUGACUUGGUUCCUUCAACUCAAAGAAGAAACAAAGUUUUCUCGUGGGUACAGGGCACAAUCAUUAUUGUGGCAUCUCAGGGUGCCUCUCAUAAGAGCCAGGUGCAUAGAAAUGGGACACUAACACAGACAAAGCCAGACUGCAGAGUCCACUGGAACCGCUAAAACUGAGUAUGUGGCACAGCAACAUUGCAGAGAAUCCCC